UAAAGGGACUUCUUUUGAACACUUGUUAAGAUUCCAAAUGAACCUGACUCUGCCACUAUACUGUAUAGAAGCUGGCAAAAGCUUGAGAACAGGAACACACUCUUGCUUUUCCCACACCCAAGUUUGGCUUCCAAAGAG